rnacentral:rRNA from 1 species
UGUGAGGGGAGUGAAAUAGAACCUGAAACCGUGUACGUACAAGCAGUAGGAGCCCACUUGUUGGGUGACUGCGUACCUUUUGUAUAAUGGGUCAGCGACUUAUAUUUUGUAGCGAGGUUAACCGAAUAGGGUAGCCGUAGGGAAACCGAGUCUUAACUGGGCGAUUAGUUGCAAGGUAUAGACCCGAAACCCGGUGAUCUAGCCAUGGGCAGGUUGAAGGUUGAGUAACAUCAACUGGAGGACCGAACCCA